CUCUAGUAAAUUCUUUUUGUUUCAAUCUUUAUUGGUUCUGAGAGUAUAUUUUUCAUGAUUUGUUAUUUAUUCUUUGUGUUGCAGGAGUGGAUGAUAUGAUUUUUAUUUACGUAUUGAUAUGCUUUUCUUAGAAUUUCACACCAUCAAACUUCUCUCUCUUCGUUUAUUCAUCAAGGUUUUGUUUUGUAUAAUUUUUUGAUAUAAUUCUUCGUUUGAUAAUUGAGAGAUGUGUUUAUCCAUCCAAUGACUCCAUCCAAUGUCUAUAAUGACUUGACACAAUGGACAAGAACGAAAAACGGUUCCAUAUACAUAAAUCAAAUUUCUUCAAUAUGAGUCGUUCUUUACUAUUUUUACUUAGUUUUGUAUGUUUUCAAAAUAAUAACUUUCUUCAUAGCAUGGAGCUUAGUGUUUUGAUUUGGUGAUCUUUAUUAAAUUGUUUUUGUUUUCAAUAUUUUGUCUUGUUCUAUAUUCCUUUUGUUUGAUCUUUUUCUAUAUUAUUCUUUUCUGGUUGAUUUUUUUGUAUUUUGGUUGUUAUUGGUUCUGUUCUUGGAGUUUGCAUUUCUUAUUGUAAUGAUAUGAUACUAUUAUUGAGUUCAUUAGGGUUUUAAUUGACAUGUUCUUCUAUUUCAUCUUCUUCAUCAGAUAUUUUUGUACACAUGGGUGUUUUGUGUUUAUUUUGUUGCCAGCACGUGCAUGUUGGAGUUCUGAUGUAAUUUUUUCUUUUUAGUGUAGCUUGAUGUAUGAUUGUCACCUCUAGUAGAAUUUUUCUAUUUUGUGAAAUAUGUACCUGUUUACUGCAGGGUAGUAGUGUGUUUUGAAACAAACUUUUAUUUUGGUAAACUCUUCUUUGUUCAUAAAUUAUUUUUCAUUCCUUAUUUUCUAUGGAGUUUUAUUGUCCAUUCUUGUUCAGCCUUAGAGUUUUCUUACCCAUCAAUACUACUAUUUUCUUACAUUGGAACAGUGUGAAAGUGCUGGUGAAAUUGGGAAAGCAUGUCACGCAUCAUCUGCUUUUGAUACUCAACAGUUUGGGAUAUAACUGGAUGGAGCAAUAACUUGGUAUAGGGGGAACCUAAUGGAGCACAAGAAUCUGCAAUACUCUGUUUUUGUUGUGCUUUCAUUUGGGAGGACAUGUACUGUGAAAGUUGUGGCAGAGAUUAUCAUGGACUUAUUUUUGGUUUGGUGUGCUAAGUAAAGAACUACGAAUGUACUUGUUCUGAAUGGUGUCUUUUGAUGCAUGUCUACUUUUCAGUCAGUUGAAGUUUUGGAUAUCUUUUGAUACAAUUGGAUAAGAAAGGAUAGUACAGAUAAUUCAAAUUUCUUCAAUGAAAUUCUAUUUACUAUUUUUAAUCCAGAUAUUUCAAAUUUCUUCAUUGAGUUGCUAUAUACUAUUUUUAUUUUCAGACUUUGUCAUAAGACAUACUAAUUGAAUUGUGAACUACUUUUCUGCAGCGUGGUUUGUCAUAGAGCUUUCAGUUUUUAUUUGGUGAUAUCUAGUAAAUUCCUUUAGUUUCAGUAUUUGUUCAUCAAUUUUGAGAGCAUAUAUUUAUUGAUUUGUUAUUUUUCUCAUUUUUCUCUUUGGUUUUGCAGGAGAGGUAAUCUAAAUGCAAACAAUUCCUUCGUGAUCUUCCUCUUGUUUGAUUUUUAGUUUUUGUUUUGACACUCUUUUUUCCCUGGUUACUUUGGUUUUGAUCUUGAAGUUUGCUGUUCUUAUUUUAAUAAUCUGCAGCUACUAAUUAAUGAGUUAUUUGUUUUCACAAUAUUGAGAUAUUCUCUCAAUCAAGUUUAUUUUGUUACACUUCUUGCAAUGUGAAUUAUUUUCGAUUCAUUUUCUCUAGAGUUUUAAAUUCUUUUGUUUUUCAAUAUUUCAUCUGUAUUGUUAUUAUUUUCUAGUUGAUU